rnacentral:rRNA from 1 species
UACGUAGGUGGCAAGCGUUGUCCGGAUUUACUGGGCGUAAAGAGCGCGCAGGCGGUCGUUCAAGUCGCGUGUGAAAGCCCCCGGCUCAACUGGGGAGGGUCACGCGAUACUGAUCGACUCGAAGGCAGGAGAGGGUAGUGGAAUUCCCGGUGUAGUGGUGAAAUGCGUAGAUAUCGGGAGGAACACCCGUGGCGAAGGCGGCCUGCUGGGCCGGUCCUGACGCUGAUGCGCGAAGGCGUGGGGAGCGAACGGG